AAUCUACUUCCUCCGUUCUAAAUUACUUGUCAUAGGUAUGGAUGUAUUUAGAUGUAUUUUAGUUCUAGAUACAUCCAUUUCUGCGAUGAGUAAUUUGAAAUGGAGCAAGUAUAAG
rnacentral:pre_miRNA from 1 species